rnacentral:rRNA from 1 species
AGUGAACGCUGGCGGUAGGCCUAACACAUGCAAGUCGAACGGCAGCACAGUAAGAGCUUGCUCUUACGGGUGGCGAGUGGCGGACGGGUGAGGAAUACAUCGGAACCUACUUUUUCGUGGGGGAUAACGUAGGGAAACUUACGCUAAUACCGCAUACGACCUACGGGUGAAGGCAGGGGAUCUUCGGACCUUGCGCGAUUGAAUGAGCCGAUGUCGGAUUAGCUAGUUGGCGGGGUAAAGGCCCACCAAGGCGACGAUCCGUAGCUGGUCUGAGAGGAUGAUCAGCCACACUGGAACUGAGACACGGUCCAGACUCCUACGGGAGGCAGCAGUGGGGAAUAUUGGACAAUGGGCGCAAGCCUGAUCCAGCCAUACCGCGUGGGUGAAGAAGGCCUUCGGGUUGUAAAGCCCUUUUGUUGGGAAAGAAAAGCAGCAGGUUAAUACCCCGCUGUUCUGACGGUACCCAAAGAAUAAGCACCGGCUAACUUCGUG